rnacentral:rRNA from 1 species
AUACGUAGGGGGCGAGCGUUGUCCGGAAUGAUUGGGCGUAAAGGGCGCGUAGGCGGCGCGGUAAGUCUGGAGUGAAAGUCCUGCUUUCAAGGUGGGAAUUGCUUUGGAUACUGCCGCGCUUGAGUGCAGGAGAGGUUAUCGGAAUUCCCGGUGUAGCGGUGAAAUGCGUAGAGAUCGGGAGGAACACCAGUGGCGAAGGCGGGUAACUGGACUGCAACUGACGCUGAGGCGCGAAAGUGUGGGGAGCAAACAGGAUUAGAUACCCUGGUAGUCCACACUGUAAACGAUGAAUGCUAGGUGUAGGGGGUAUCGACCCCUUCUGUGCCGCAGUCAACACAAUAAGCAUUCCGCCUGGGGAGUACGGCCGCAAGGUUGAAACUUAAAGGAAUUGACGGGG